CCGUAUGUGGUGCAACGGUUAGCACGCGCCCCCAGAAAGUGUGAGAUCUGGGUUCAAAUCCCGGCUGACGUA